rnacentral:snRNA from 1 species
AAACUCGGUAUAAUUGAUGAUA